rnacentral:rRNA from 1 species
CGGCCCAGACUCCUACGGGAGGCAGCAGUGGGGAAUCUUAGACAAUGGGCGCAAGUGAUCUAGCCAUGCCGCGUGAGUGACGAAGGCCUUAGGGUCGUAAAGCUCUUUCGCCAGGGAUGAUAAUGACAGUACCUGGUAAAGAAACCCCGGCUAACUCCGUGCCAGCAGCCGCGGUAAUACGGAGGGGGUUAGCGUUGUUCGGAAUUACUGGGCGUAAAGCGCGCGUAGGGGAUUGGAAAGUUGGGGGUGAAAUCCCGGGGCUCAACCCCGAACUGCCUCCAAAACUAUCAGUCUAGAGUUCGAGAGAGGUGAGUGGAAUUCCAAGUGUAGAGGUGAAAUUCGUAGAUAUUUGGAGGAACACCAGUGGCGAAGGGGCUCACUGGCUCGAUACUGACGCUGAGGGUGCGAAAGUGUGGGGAGCAAACAGGAUUAGAUACCCUGGUAGUCCACACCGUAAACGAUGAAUGCCAGACGUCGGGGGGCUUGCCUUCGGUGUCACACCUAACGGAUUAAGCAUUCCGCCUGGGAGUACGGUCGCAAGAUUAAAACUCAAAG